rnacentral:rRNA from 1 species
AUGACAAUCAACAAAGCUCAAAGUCAAACUAUUCCAAAUGUUGGCAUCUAUCUUCCAGAGGCGGUGUUCUCUCAUCGUCAACUCUAUGUUGCUUUAUCAAAAGGGAUGUCAAGACAAACAACAAGAAUAGUUGCAAAGCCAAAUAAGGAAAUUGAUCCAUCAGGAAAAAGCAGCAACAAUAUUGUCUACGAAGAUGUCUUGAUGUAA